UCGUAUAAGCUCACACAAAAGGCAUUGAAAUGAAAGAAGAAAAAUUAUCUUUCAAGGAAAUCAAUUUGGUUAAAUUUGUUGAUACAUUUACUUAGAUAUACAUUCAAUAACAUUUAACCAUCAUCAAUGAUUUAAUAAGUAUUAAGAAAUAAGGAAAAUAACUAUUCAAAACUUCAAAACAGUAUUUACAUUAUCACAAUUAUUAGAAAAAAUGAAAUAGUAACAUGAAAGCAUAUUCAAAAUAAUUACACUAAAAAAGGUAACGGGGCAUUGAACUUAGAAUUCAUGUUUACAGAUGUGACUCAAAUUCUCAUACUUGAUUUAUAACAUACUUAAAAGUAUAUCCAAAUUAGAAAAAGUAAAAAAAAAAAAAAAAAAAACAAUUAACAAAGCAUGGGCUCGAUUAUAUGUAUAAUCGUUUCGUCUGUAUUUUCGUGCCAUUGGCUUUUUCUACGAUUUUUUAAUUUCAUAUUAUAGGUAUAGGUAUUAUACAUAAUACAUGUAAAUCAUUUGUACCUGUAUAAGAAGGAGGUUUUGUUGAUCAAAUCAGUCAAUCAAAAGAUUUACCUUUGUUUCACUUUCAAUGUUGGCAUUUUUUUCUUUUUAAUAACUGAACACGCAUAAUUUAUGCGUAAUCAAUCUCUAGAUAAGGGGUUGAAUUAAAGGUCACAUGAAUACGGAUUCAAUGAGGUCGUUUGCAGGUGAAUAAUUCAUCAUCAAUGAUUCUUAUUUUGACAAGAUUGAACCAUACUGGCUGCUACAAUUUUUAUAUAUCACGUAGCUAUUUCCUCAUUACUAUAUUAAGUUAAGGAUAAUUCUUCAAAUACUAUUUAUGAAAUAUUCGAAGUUACUUUUGAUGUCUUAAAUGUAAGUUUCAUCAAGUCUUUCUUCUUUUGUGGCGUUUGCUAAGAUGUAUAACAUACUCCAAGUGGAAUUUGAAUGAAUGGUGAUGAUGAAGUUAUACCUAAUGAUGUAUUGAUAUUUCUGAUGAACCAUAAUAUUUUAAUGCUGAAAAAAUAUGCCAUUCAUAAUAAACAUAGAAUGCACUUGCAAAUAAAGGUAUAAAAAAUGACUGCAGAAUGACUUCUGCAAAUACAAGGAAAACUUUCCAAUCUAGAAUACCCCUAUUUGCAUUAUUGUUUGCUAAUUGCAAUAUUUAAAUAAUAUACAAUGUCAUAGUCAAAAUCAAUGCUCAAUAAGACAGACUUAUUUAUCGACAUUCAAAUAUACAAUCAUGAUAGUCACUAAACGGAAAACACACUGUUAUAUAUUGAAAAA
rnacentral:lncRNA from 1 species